CCAGACCACGUGGACAGGGAGGCUGCUGACACCUGGUGGCUCCUGCUUCUCCAAUGGAACUGGCUUCACUCUGGAAAAAAGAUGUUUCUUCUUCUCUGGAUCUUCCAUUUUGGAAAAGGAAGCCAAACAAUUCAUUGAUGAUAAUCUACUGACUUCAACUCCCCCUUAGCACCCAUCCAUGUGAAGAGACACCUUUGGACAUCUGUUAUACUUGGAGGAGCCAAUGUUAUCCUGUUUGUUAAAUAAUCUUGUUCAAUCCA